rnacentral:rRNA from 1 species
UGGGGAAUAUUGGACAAUGGGCGAAAGCCUGAUCCAGCCAUGCCGCGUGUGUGAAGAAGGUCUUCGGAUUGUAAAGCACUUUAAGUUGGGAGGAAGGGCAGUAAGCGAAUACCUUGCUGUUUUGACGUUACCGACAGAAUAAGCACCGGCUAACUCUGUGCCAGCAGCCGCGGUAAUACAGAGGGUGCGAGCGUUAAUCGGAUUUACUGGGCGUAAAGCGUGCGUAGGCGGCUAAUUGAGUCGGAUGUGAAAUCCCCGGGCUUAACUUGGGAAUUGCAUUCGAUACUGGUUAGCUAGAGUGUGGGAGAGGAUGGUAGAAUUCCAGGUGUAGCGGUGAAAUGCGUAGAGAUCUGGAGGAAUACCGAUGGCGAAGGCAGCCAUCUGGCCUAACACUGACGCUGAGGUACGAAAGAAUGCGGAGCAAACAGG